CAGUAGCGUAUAUUAAAGUUGUUGCAGUUAAAAAGCUCGUCGUUGGAUUUUUGGUGAGACUCACCCGGCCCGCUCGGUUUUCCGGUGUGAGUGCUGGUGCGAGUCUCCCAUCCAUCUAGGGAAGCACGACUCCCGUUAACGCGGUGUGGUUGUGUCGCUCUGGAUAUUUAACUUUGAAAAAAUUAGAGUGUUUAAAGCAGGCUUGCGCUUAUGAAUACAUUAGCAUGGAAUUAUGAGAUAGGACUUCGGCCUAUUUAUUGGUUUCUGGACGAAGUAAUGAUUGAUAGGGAUAGUUGGGGGUGCUUCUAUUAAGUGGCCAGAGGUGAAAUUCUUGGACUCACUUAAGAGAAACUUAUGCGAAAGCAUUCGCCAAGGAUGUCUUCUUUAA
rnacentral:rRNA from 1 species